GAAAAUACAGACCGUCUCGGAACCUUCGGCAAAUGAUGGUAAACGUCUCAUUUGCCGAAGGUUCUGAUACCAACUGUAUUCAC
rnacentral:pre_miRNA from 1 species